rnacentral:sRNA from 1 species
GCUGGGCGUGGUGGCCCACGCCUGUAAUCCCAGCAACCCAGGAGGCUGAGACAGGAGGGUCCCAAGUUCAAAACCAGCCUCAGCAAUGGCAAGGCGCUUAGCAACUCAGUGAGACCCUGUCUCUA